CUCUCUCUCUCCUAUUCUCGUUUUCCUUUCGGCGACUAACCCUAAUCCCAAAAGAACAAAGCUUUUUGAUUCAAUCUUAUAAUAAUAAAAUGGAACCAUAAAUCUCUUUGUCUCUCUGUCUCAUGCUUUAUCUGAGAAUUAGAAGAAUCAAAAUCAAUCACAUGUGGUUUUGACAUCAUCUUUUCAUUGAGAAACCAUAAAAAAGAAGAUGAAUAUGAAGCUGUUAACGAUCGUUUGUAUUUUCAUAGUGGGGAGAUGCAAAAUCCCACAAUAAGACUGAGCAUUUUGAUUUUCUUAUGGUUUAAUUUGUGUUGUCUAAUACUCUAGUACUAUUAUAUGGCUUUCGAUUUCAAUAUCUUUCUAAUUUUUA